CGCACUAGUGAUUAGAGUUUGAUCAUGGCUCAGAUUGAACGCUGGCGGCAUGCUUACACAUGCAAGUCGAACGGCAGCACGGGAGCAAUCCUGGUGGCGAGUGGCGAACGGGUGAGUAAUACAUCGGAACGUGCCCAGUAGUGGGGGAUAGCCCGGCGAAAGCCGGAUUAAUACCGCAUACGACCUACGGGUGAAAGCGGGGGAUCGCAAGACCUCGCGCUAUUGGAGCGGCCGAUGUCAGAUUAGCUUGUUGGUGGGGUAAAAGCCUACCAAGGCGACGAUCUGUAGCUGGUCUGAGAGGACGACCAGCCACACUGGGACUGAGACACGGCCCAGACUCCUACGGGAGGCAGCAGUGGGGAAUUUUGGACAAUGGGCGCAAGCCUGAUCCAGCCAUGCCGCGUGCGGGAAGAAGGCCUUCGGGUUGUAAACCGCUUUUGCCAGGGAAGAAACGGCUCUUACUAAUAUUAGGAGCUAAUGACGGUACCUGAAGAAUAAGCACCGGCUAACUACGUGCCAGCAGCCGCGGUAAUACGUAGGGUGCAAGCGUUAAUCGGAAUUACUGGGCGUAAAGCGUGCGCAGGCGGCUUUGCAAGACAGAUGUGAAAUCCCCGGGCUCAACCUGGGAACUGCAUUUGUGACUGCAUGGCUAGAGUACGGUAGAGGGGGAUGGAAUUCCGCGUGUAGCAGUGAAAUGGGUUAC
rnacentral:rRNA from 1 species